GCUCCGAUGGUGUAGUCCGGCCAAGCAUUCCGGCCUUUCGAGCCGAUGACUCGGGUUCAAAUCCCGAUCGGAGCA
rfam:Acidiplasma cupricumulans strain BH2 Contig69, whole genome shotgun sequence.